AAAUCCUAUGGCUCAACCAUAGAACUGCAUCCAAAACUGAGGGGCUAGAGUCUGGGAGGGGAAGAUGGAAUUAGUGGUGUAGGGGUAAAAUCCGUAGAGAUCACUAGGAAUACCAAAAGCGAAGGCGAUCUUCUGGAACAGUACUGACGCUGAGGCGCGAAAGCGUGGGGAGCAAACAGGAUUAGAUACCCUGGUAGUCCACGCCCUAAACUAUGAAUGUUAGUCGUCGGGAGGCUCGUCCUCUCGGUGAUGCAGCUAACGCAUUAAACAUUCCGCCUGGGGAGUACGGUCGCAAGAUUAAAACUCAAAGGAAUAGACGGGGACCCGCACAAGUGGUGGAGCAUGUGGUUUAAUUCGAAGAUACGCGAAGAACCUUACCUGGCCUUGACAUUGAUAGAAUCUGCUAGAGAUAGCGGAGUGCCCUUCGGGGAGCUUGAAAACAGGUGCUGCACGGCUGUCGUCAGCUCGUGUCGUGAGAUGUUGGGUUAAGUCCCGCAACGAGCGCAACCCUCGUCACUAGUUACUAACGGUUCGGCCGAGGACUCUAGUGAGACUGCCUUCGUAAGGAGGAGGAAGGUGAGGACGACGUCAAGUCAUCAUGGCCCUUACGGCCAGGGCGACACACGUGCUACAAUGGGAUGUACAAUGAGACGCAAUACCGCGAGGUGGAGCAAAUCUAUAAAGCAUCUCUCAGUUCGGAUUGUAGUCUGCAACUCGACUACAUGAAGCUGGAAUCACUAGUAA
rnacentral:rRNA from 1 species